AUUUAUUCUUCCCAAGCUCAAUUUACUUGUUCUUGGGGAAAAAUCACCAUUGGCCUCGAGACUGGGCUUCACCGCCCACUUCCCGGCUUAAAUUCGGCUAGUUUUUUCUAACUGGUAGUUACCUUUUUGGUAGAUUUAUCUGCUUCAAAAUUAUCCCUAUCAGCUAAAUGAAACUCCCUGGGUCUUUCGGCCCAGUCAACUCUUUAUC
rnacentral:misc_RNA from 1 species